GUGAGCAGACUCUAGUCUAUGCAGACUAAUGAGGAGUUAUCAAAAUGAGCUCCAAACUCCAGAUUUGAGUUAAGGAUCAUAAAUUAACACAGAGAAAUACGACUUUAGCAAUAUGUGACUGUUUGAAGCCCAAGUUGCCUUAAAACACGGAAUUUCAGUCUUUCAGCUCCUCUGCUAAUCUAGUGACUAAGAACAGGAUCUCACUGGAGCUCAAAGAUGUGGGGCACUGGGAAUACUCUGGGUCUGUCUGCUCACGGCUGAUUGCCUGAUCCCAGUUUUAUUAUACAGCUUAAAUACAGACCAGAAGAGGAGUUUGGGGCUUGACACCUGACGUCUUAACACCAGUUCCUGUUUCUUGAGGAAGGAAGAGGUAAAAUAAAUCAGCGUUUACUGUGUCCUUCUCCAUCCCCGGAAGUCUUCAUGAAGACCCUCUCAGCUUCUACUUGAACGUGAAUAUGAGCAACUGAUCAUCUGUUCUGCGGUCAGCCCCUGGCCUGAUUCUGACUCAUGAUAUUGACCUUCUCCAUCAUCACCUUCCACAAAUUUGAUUCCUAUCUAUUCUGCCUGGAAUAGUUCAUGAGUAUAGUCACCAUUUAUGUUCCUGACGAAAGACAUUAUGCUCAUUCUCAGGGCCCUGAGACCUCAUCUGCAGCAGGUGAAGGCAUUCGUGGAGAGAGGCGGUUUCCGUGCGUGCAGGCAAAGUGUGUGCUGAGAUGAGUCGCUGGAGACUGGGGUGGACUCUUCAGACCCAGGAUAGGCCUCUGGCAGGUAUAUGUCAAUGUUUUCUGCCCAUGGCACUCACCCGGAUAUUUGCAUACAAUGUUAUCAGUGGAAUUAGUAGUCUCCAGAGAGGCUGCCACAUGUCAGCAAGCUUCACCUGGCCAGGUCCGCCCAGGAUGUAGCUCCCCAAUCAAUCACUACUCUCUAGACCUUCCAGAUAGACUAGCAGAUCUUCUCUGCCCAUGGGCAACCAGUAGAGCCAGAGGCCUUCUCUCUUUGCUCUUUCGUCUCUAGGCAUUCUAUCAGGCAUUCCAAGCUGUGAAGUGCCUGGGAGGAGAAGGAAGAGAUUUCAGAGAAUGAACACAUACAGAGAGACAGGCAAGAGACGGUGAGUGGGGAUGUCUUGCCUACUGAUAUCCUCAGGAAAGUGGGAAAAUUGGACCCUGGCCUGCUAUGACAAUGCCCUGAAGCAGUCCGCACCAGGGGCUCCCUUGUGCCUGCAUAGCCUUUCCCAGGGUGUGCUCAAAUCCUGUGGCCACUAGGUGUCCUGGGUCACAAUGGAGGGCCCUGUGUCAUCUGCCUGUUGGGCUGGAUCUCUGCCAUUGGCUGAGUCUUGUCACCAGGCCCAUCAUAAGCUCUGCCCACUCUUCCUGUGGGGGGACUGUCUCCAUGGUGAUGGCAAAGAAGCCUGAGUUCCGCCCACCUGGCCUUGACUUCACCUACCUGGCCUGCUGACCCUCACUCAGACCUCUGUGUUGAUCAAAAUGAAUGUCCGCCAGUGGCCAGGUGUCAGCAUCUGGGAUAAAGGAUUGGGGACCUUGCCUGGGGCAGAAGGCAGCCUAGGUCUGUGGGUACCUGGAAGUCUUGUGACUUCUGCCGCUGCUGCCAGUGACAGAUGGUGACUCCCACACUCACAUAUCCCCUGGUGGCAGAAGGAUAGUGAUGGGCGGAGAAACAUGGCUCCGGAGCACACUUUAAAUGCGGCACCAGCCAAAGGCCAGGGCAAGGAGUGGACGUCGUGGAGCUUAAUUGCAAGCCAGUGAAGGGCCCAAGGAUUUCUCCUAUAUGUGGCAAACAGGUCAUCCGUGUCCCCACGUCCAUAAACCAUUGGACUGCAGUGCCAGACUGCCAGGAUUUCGGCCUUGCCAUUGGAGCCCGUCCACAUACGCUGCGUUGCACCGGAGGCGGGGACAUGUAGACAGCAAAAAUUUGGAAAAUGGCAUCAUCUCUUCAAUUUCCCUAGCAUUGGCCUUUUUCAGUGGCAUGCUUUGUUUCCUAGUAGGAUAAGGCACUGACGGAGAAAGGCAGGAGUAUGUGUGUAGGAAAGGUGUGUGCCGAAAGGGUGACGACGUUGAGACCACGUUGGGAUCUUUAGUCCCAGGAAAGGCCCCUGGCAGGUGUGGGUCAAUGUUCUCUGCUCAUCCGAGUUGGCGGGGGAGGUUUUCACCAAACAAAGCAGCAGUGGAAUUAUUCGUAGCCUGAGAGGUUGCAUCUGCCCACAAGCUCCACCUGGCCAGGGUCCGCCCCUACUGUAUUGCCCAUGUCAAUCAACAGAAGCUAAGACCUUCCAGAGAGACUACCUGCUAUUGUCUACCCACCGGGAAGCGGUCCAGCCAGAAGCCUCCCCCGUUUCAUCUCCAGGCUCUCUGUCAGGCCCCUCAUACUUGUGAUGUGUCUCAGGGGUAGAAGGAAGAGAUUUCUCUGAAUGAACACAUCCAGAGAGGAGCCAUAGAUGCUGAGGAAGGGCGCCUUGUCUACUGAUAUCCUAGCGUAAGUGUAAAAGAGGUACCUGCCUGCUGUCCCAGUGUGUCGAACGUGUCCACAUCAGGGGUUGGCUACUGUAAAAUUAUUCCCUGGUGCCCUCGAUUUUGUGGCCAAAGACACGAGGGGCCGUUGUGUGUCCAUGGGUACAAUGGAGGGCUCUGCGGAACGGGCUGGUUAGGCUGGACUUCUCCUAUUGGCUCAGUGUUUGUGACUCGUCCCCGUCAGAAGUUCCGCCCAGCCUUCUGGUGGCUGUCUCCAUGAGGAUUGGGAAAGAAGCCCUAGGCCCCGCACUCGGCCUUCACCUGGCCUACCUGGCCUCUUUACCCUCAUCUAGACCGCUCUGUGCAUGAAAGAAAGGAUGUCGGCCACUGACCAAGCAUCCUCAUUUCCUUGGAAGUAUUAGGCUCCUUGCGUGGGCAGAAGACAGCCAAGGUCAGCCUGAGCCUAGACACCUAGUGACCUGUGACACUGCAGCCAGCGAUAGAUGUUGAUGUCCACGCUCAGGUAUCCGCAGUUGACGGAUUCAGAGUGGUCAGAGGAGAAGUGUAACUAGAGAUCACACACUCAUGAGGGCACGGGCCAAAGGUCAGGGAAAAUAGCUGAGGUCGUGGAGCUCUAGCGGAGCCAGUCAAGGGCCCAGGCCUCCCUCCUGUACGUGGCAAAGAGGUGUCACCUUCCGCAGAGUAUGCUGCCACCCGCAGACUCUGGACUGCUGGGGCCCUGGAUGCCCGGAUUUCGGCCUUGUGUUUGGAGAAGUGACGUGCAUGCAGUGUGCCACCGGGGGCUGUGGCCCAGCAGAAGCAAAAUCUUGAAAAUGGGAGCUUCAGUUGACUUUGCGUGUUCUCUCCCUUGGCUGAGUGCCAUCCUGUGUUUCCUAGCAGGAGAAGGCAUUCGUGGAGAAAGGCAGAUUCCAUGUGUGCAGGCAAAGUGUGUGCUGACAUGAUGAGACCCUGGAGACCAGGGUGGACUCUUCAGACCCAGGACAGGCCUCUGGCAGGUAUGUGUCAAUGUUUUCUGCCCGUGGCACUCAACCGGGUAUUUGCAUACAGUGUCAUCAGCAGAAUUAGUAGUCUCCGGAGAGGCUACCACAUGUCAGCAAGCUUCACCUGGCCAGAGUCCACCCGUGAUGUAGCUCCCCAAUCAGUCACUACUGUCUAGACCUUCCAGAUAGACUAGCAGAUCUUCUCUGCCCAUGGGCAACCAGUAGAGCCAGAGGCCUUCCCCCUUUGCUCUUUCGUCUCUAGGCUCUCUAUCAGGCACUCCAAGCUGUGAAGUGACUCAGGGAGAGAAGGAAGAGAUUUCAGAGAAUGAACACAUACAGAGAGAGAGGCAAGAGAUGCUGAGUGGGGAUGUCUUGCGUACUGAUAUCCUCAGGAAAGUGGGAAAAUUGGACCCUGGCCUGCUCUGCCAAUGCCGUGAAGCAGUCCACUCCAGGGGCUCCCUUGUGCCUGCAUAGCCUUUCCCAGGGUGUGCUCAAAUCCUGUGGCCACUAGGUGUCCUAGGUCACAAUGGAGGACCCUGUGUCAUCUGCCUGGCGGACUGGAUCUCUGCCAUUGGCUGAGUCUUGUCACCAGGCCCAUCAUAAGCUCUGCCCACUCUUCCGGUGGGGAGACUCUCUCCAUGGUGAUGGCAAAGAAACCUUAGUCCUGCCCACCUGGCCUUCACUUCACGUA